CCGUUAUGCGUGAUGGAGCCCUGCUUUCCUGGAGAUGGCUGAACGCCUGCCUGCUGAUGGGAACUUCUCAUGCCCAGGCAGCAAGAAGGCUGGAGGGGCACAAGAAGUUGGGAGGGGACACAGCCAGGGCAGCUGACCCAAACUGGCCAAUGGGGUAUUCCAUACCAUGUGAUGUCAUGUCUUGUAUAUAAACUGGGGGGAGUGGGGGUGGGGGGAUUGCCGCUCGGGGACUAACUGGGUGUUGAUCGGUGGGUGGUGAGCAAUUGCAUUGUGCAUCACUUGUAUAUUCCAAUCCUUUUAUUAUUGCUGUUGUCAUUUUAUUAGUGUUAUCAUUAUCAUUAUUAGUUUCUUCCUUUCUGUUCUAUUAAACCGUUCUUAUCUCAA